CUUGCCUACUUGUUUCAUCACUUAUAAAUAGCCUUAUAUUUUCUUAUUGCAGUACCAAGUUUUAUAUUUGAAGCAUAUAUCAAUCAAGGAAAAAUAUCUCUAAUGGAUUUUCCCAAGUUUCUUAUUGUUUUUCUUCUCUUAAUUAUGCCAUUUUCAAUUGCAUCAAUUUCUCUUGGUGCAACAACAAAUCAGGUAGGUAGGCCACUUUGCUUUAGGACAUGCUCGGAGGCAUUUACAGUGGAGGAUUGCAAAUAUGAGUGCAAAGGCCGACAUUUUCAAAAAGGGAGAUGCGAAAAUGGGCGUUGUUGUUGUCGCCAAGCUAAGGCUCCACCUGCAGUUAAUUAAUAUAUUAGAUCUGCAUAUUCUAUAAAAUAUGUACGUUUAGUUGUUGGAUUCUAAAGGAAACAUGAUCUUUAUUUACUCUUGUCCUUAUAUCAACUAUUAAUGGUGUUCUAGUAUUAUCUUUGGUCA